UAAACGUCUCAGUUCGGAUUGUAGUCUACAACUCGACUACAUGAAGCUGGAAUCGCUAGUAAUCGCAAAUCAGAAUGCUGCGGUGAAUACGUUCCCGGGUCUUGUACACACCGCCCGUCACACCAUGGGAGUCGAUAACGCCCGAAGUCAGUGACCCAACCGAGAGGAGGGAGCUGCCGAAGGCGGGAUGGAUAACUGGGGUGAAGUCGUAACAAGGUACC
rnacentral:rRNA from 1 species